GGCAGCCGCGGUAAUUCCAGCUCCAAUAGCGUAUAUUAAAGUUGUUGCAGUUAAAAAGCUCGUAGUUGAAUUUCGGGACCAUCAUGUCGGUCGUGCCUCGGUACGUACUGGCACUGUUGGUUUCUCCCUUCUGACGAACCAUGAUGUCAUUUAUUUGGUGUUGUGGGGAAUCAGGACUGUUACUUUGAAAAAAUUAGAGUGUUUAAAGCAGGCUCACGCUUGAAUACAUUAGCAUGGAAUAAUGAAAUAGGACGUUUGAUUCUAUUUUGUUGGUUUCUAGGAUCGACGUAAUGAUUAAUAGGGAUAGUUGGGGGCAUUAGUAUUCAAUUGUCAGAGGUGAAAUUCUUGGAUUUAUUGAAGACUAACUACUGCGAAAGCAUUUGCCAAGGAUGUUUUCAUUAAUCAAGAACGAAAGUUAGGGAUCGAAGACGAUCAGAUACCGUCGUAGUCUUAACCAUAAACUAUAGCCGACUAGGGAUCGGAUGAUGUUAAUUUUUAAUGUACUCAUUCGGCGUCCUUA
rnacentral:rRNA from 1 species